rnacentral:rRNA from 62 species
UAGCGCGGUGGUCCCACCUGACCCCAUGCCGAACUCAGAAGUGAAACGCCGUAGCGCCGAUGGUAGUGUGGGGUCUCCCCAUGCGAGAGUAGGGAACUGCCAGGCA